CCACCCAAGGCUACGCAUUUUAUAGACAAGCCUCGACUCAGAGAGGAACGCCGCGACUCCCGGCAUCGGCGGCUAUUCAUCACGCUAAAUGGACUGGAUCCGUUUUCAUGUCGCAGGAAGGAGAAAGUGGAGCCCAUUGUGUUGCUGUGAAACACAUUAACGCUGCUCUCAGAGAGUAAAGACGUCAGGAGAUGCCGUGAACCCAUCGUGUUUUUGUUUCCUUGGUGGAAGUCAAACAUGUCAGCGCAGCCCUCAGAAGCUCGCGCAGGUUAAGGGACCGAUGAAGUUCCUCCUCGGCCUCCUCUGCAGCCGCUCCUACAGUGUGU
ensembl:lncRNA